UGAACGCUGGCGGCGUGCCUAAUACAUGCAAGUCGAGCGAACAGACGAGGAGCUUGCUCCUCUGACGUUAGCGGCGGACGGGUGAGUAACACGUGGAUAACCUACCUAUAAGACUGGGAUAACUUCGGGAAACCGGAGCUAAUACCGGAUAAUAUAUUGAACCGCAUGGUUCAAUAGUGAAAGACGGUUUUGCUGUCACUUAUAGAUGGAUCCGCGCCGCAUUAGCUAGUUGGUAAGGUAACGGCUUACCAAGGCGACGAUGCGUAGCCGACCUGAGAGGGUGAUCGGCCACACUGGAACUGAGACACGGUCCAGACUCCUACGGGAGGCAGCAGAAGGGAAUCUUCCGCAAUGGGCGAAAGCCUGACGGAGCAACGCCGCGUGAGUGAUGAAGGUCUUCGGAUCGUAAAACUCUGUUAUUAGGGAAGAACAAAUGUGUAAGUAACUAUGCACGUCUUGACGGUACCUAAUCAGAAAGCCACGGCUAACUACGUG
rnacentral:rRNA from 1 species